rnacentral:rRNA from 1 species
AGGACGAACGCUGGCGGCGUGCUUAACACAUGCAAGUCGAGCGGAAAGGCCUUUCGGGGUACUCGAGCGGCGAACGGGUGAGUAACACGUGAGUAAUCUGCCCAUCGCUUCAGGAUAGCCAUCGGAAACGGUGAUUAAUACUGGAUAUGACAUUCCUUCGCAUGUUGGGGUGUGGAAAGUUUUUUCGGCGGUGGAUGUGCUCGCGGCCUAUCAGCUUGUUGGUGGGGUAAUGGCCUACCAAGGCUUUGACGGGUAGCCGGCCUGAGAGGGUGACCGGCCACGACUGGGACUGAGACACGGCCCAGACUCCGUACGGGAGCAGCAGUGGGGAAUAGUUGGACAAGUGGGCGGAAGCCUGAUCCGAGCAACGUCGCGUGAGGAUGACGGUCCGUUCGGGUUCGUAACCUCUUUACGAG